UUUGUAGACGGUAAAUUUCUAUUAAAGGUGAAAUAUGUAAGCUUAACUUUCAUAAGCCUUUAUAUUUGAUUUACUUGAGUUAGAGAGAGGGUAGCAGAAUUUUUCAAGUAGGGGUUAAAUCCAAAAAGAUGAAAAAGAAUACCAGAAGCGAAGGCGGUUAUCUGGCUCUAUACUGACGUUGAGGAACUAAAGCGUGGGGAGCAAACA
rnacentral:rRNA from 1 species